UUAUUAACUCUACUUCAUCUUGAUUUUUCUCAAUUUUGGAGGAAGCUUGACCUAGAUGAUUAACUCCAAACCGUAAAACACUGUAGUCAUUCUCACUUCCAUACUCGACAGUCCUCUUGCUGUGUAAUUGGCUAGAGUCUUCAAACCCACAAAAGAUAAGCACAUUUCCCAACCAGACACUUCUGGGCGGUUCUUACAUUCCUGGCAGAGACUGAGUACCAAAGGGUGGACUGCUGAAUAGACACAGAUGAGCCCCUAACAGAGCCACGUGGGGACAGGUCUGUUCCUCGUGGGAAGCCCAACGAAACAGGUCCUCUGUGCUGUGUGCAAAGAACAACAGGCUCUUUAAUGGGAGAGUUUCCUCCUUGAGUGUUCCCAUCCGUGGAGGAAGCAAAGCCAGCCUGUUGGAGUGAUGAAAAUAUGAUAAGUUCACGAAACAACAGGAGGCAAAGAAGCAGUAAUAUGACUUCUCGCAUCUAAUAAGAGGAAAUGGGCACGACGACACAAAUGGAGGGAUGUCUCUCCUCCGUGGGAGUGUGACAGCCAAGGCAGAGUGACAGGACUGACAUCCAGGCUGGAUUCUGAUGGACAACCAUGACCAUGAGAGGAGACAAGAAGAGAAGAAAACUUUCAGGCAGCAGCUGUUCAAGUCGGCCCAAGUCUCCCUACACAACCUGUUCCAAGAGCCUUGAAUCAUCAGGGGCGAGCAGGGACAGCCACUUCACAUGGAGAGCUAUGAGACAUGCUGCUGCUGAGGCUUCAACUCUGCAACCCAGGGUCCCUCAGCAAACACUGAGGGUCAGGUCAGAGUUCACUGGCUAGUCUAAUCAACAGACUUCUGUGUUUAGUCUGUAGUGUUUAAAGAAUUCAGUUUGAUGACGAUAUUAAAAUCUGGGGAAUUUUCGGGUCUCCUUUGGAGAAAUACGUACUCGUAUCUUUGCCCAUUUUCACACUGAGUUUUCCUUUCUAUCGAGAGGUAGACCUUGCUCUUGUACCUGAAAUAGUGACCUUCCUGACAUCUGGCCUGCAAGUCCUCCCUCUGCGUUGUUGGCUCCUUCUAUGUUGUGAGCUGUCUGUCUGCUGCAACAGAGCUACGGCUUUUCCUUGUUACUUUCCUUGUUUCUGGACUUCUGACAUUUACAUCCAGAACAAGACCAAUGCCAGAGAAGCUUCCUCUGCUUCCUCCUGUGGCUUUAGACCUUCUGUUUGAGUCUUCAGUCCAUUUUAAGUUGAUGCCUUUGUGAGUUCAGUGUCCUUCUCUCACAUGCGGCUGUAUGGUCCCUGCCAUUCGUUACCGUGAAUUGUGUUCUUUGCCGGGUAAGUUCUUAAUUUUCACAGAGCACAGGUCCGCUGGCCUCUUCCUCUCUUGGCAUGGUUGUUCCAGCUUGUUCUUCAUUGUUUUAUUGAUUUCACACCGACCUGAAUAUCAGUUGUAUUUGCAUAGGGACUUUUACCCUGUGAUCAUAACCAACAUACCCAUUAACUGUGCAUUUAAUAUGACAUCGCACUGUCAAAGAUCUACAGGAUGAUGCUUCGAUUUAACCCCAACAGAGGUGCUUUCAAUGUGUCAGGUAAGUAUACCUUUCAUUGAUAGUUUCUAGAAAUUCUAUUUUUAGACCUAGAGAGGUCUUUUCUACUGAAGUAGGUUAAAAAAUAAUCUUUAAACUGUGAAUAGGUUGACUUUAUCAAACAUCUUACCUGCAAUUCCGGAGAUAAUCACCAUCCCUUCUUGAUUUUUAUAAAUAUAAGAAUCCGAGUUGAUUCUUAACAAUGGGAUACCCGACUUCUCUGAAGUCUACCCUACUUGCAUGUGGUACUUUAAAAUCAUUGACGGGUGUUAUCGGAAAAGGUAUCGUCGAAGGCUCUUCUAUCAAUACAACACGCAAGACUUUGAUCUGCAGCGUCAGACUCAAAAUAGGUCAAUCUUUCUUCAGUGCCAGUGUUAGAAACUCAGCCACGUAAGACCCAGCCGACGUGACUCCAUUGUCUUCAGAGAUUGCAUCCUUUCCCGGAGGGGAAGAGGUUAAGGGCAGACCACCUUGACUCACUCUGGAGCUGGCAGGACUCAAGUUUCUGUUCUGCUGAGGCCUGCUCUUUCUGAUGUUUGCCCUCCUCCCGAGACACAGCCGUCCAGCCUCUGAACUGCGAAUUUGCAGAGCACCUUCCUUUGAAAUGCCCUGAUAUUAAAAUUCUCCCUCAUCAGCGUCUCCAGCCUGCCCUGCCUUCAGCUCUCCUCCCUGCCUCCUUAGAUGCCUGGGCUGUGUGCACAGCUUACAGUGCUGCAUGAGAAAACAGGAUCCACACAGAAUUCUACAGUGGCCGUUCUCUGGGACUUUAAAGCCGCCUCGAGUUAUGGCUCAUUUAAUAAUCUUGGUCCCCAAUGUUUGUUACCUCAGGCUAGGAAGUGUGAGAAACGCUUGGGCUGCUAUCUCUCUGCCUGGUUCCUUGUCCCCACGCCACCUAUCGCAACUUAGUACAUGCCACAACACAGAAAGUGAUUCAGUGGCCACAACACAUCUCCAAAUUCUGCUUCCUCCCCAGAGAAGGCAAUUGUCACUCAAGUACUGAGGACACAUUCAGAACUGAAGCAGCCACAUAAAAGGCCUGGAACACAAGUACUGGUGCACACGUGUGAUGUCAGCACUGGACAGGCAGAGAGUGGAGGCUUCCUGGGGAAUGCUGCCCAGCCUGCCUGGCUGAACCAGCAGCAAGCCUGAGGUUCCUUUGAGAGAUCCAAUCUCAAAUCAUUAAAUGGGGCAGAUGGAAGGAUGUCUCAUGGUUUAAAGUACUCGCUGCUCUUACAGGGCACCUGGGUUUAGUUCCUAGAGCCCACAAGAUGGCUCACAGCCAUCUGUAACUCCAGUUCUAGAGGAUCUGAAACCUUUUGCUGGCCUCCAAGGGCACCAGAAUCUCAUGUGGUGUACAGACACACAAGAAGGCUGAACACAAACUACAACAAACAAAAUCCCCAAAAGUAGAGAAUGAUU